rnacentral:rRNA from 1 species
CCCUUAGAUGUUCUGGGCUGCACGCGCGCUACACUGAAGCGUUCAACGAGUUUCUUCCUGGUCCGAGAGGAAUGGGUAACCUUUUGAAAAUGCAUCGUGAUAGGGAUAGACUAUUGCAAUUAUUGGUCUUCAACGAGGAAUUCCUAGUAGACGUAGUUCAUCAGACUGCAUCGAUUACGUCCCUGCCCUUUGUACACACCGCCCGUCGCUCCUACCGAUUGAAUGCUCAGGUGAGCCAUUCGGACUUUCAUCAUGCUGGUUUCCAGUUUUGAUGAAGGAAAGUCUUGCGAACCUUAUCAUUUAGAGGAAGGAGAAGUCGUAACA